rnacentral:rRNA from 1 species
UGGGGAAUAUUGCACAAUGGGCGCAAGCCUGAUGCAGCCAUGCCGCGUGUAUGAAGAAGGCCUUCGGGUUGUAAAGUACUUUCAGCGGGGAGGAAGGGAGUAAAGUUAAUACCUUUGCUCAUUGACGUUACCCGCAGAAGAAGCACCGGCUAACUCCGUGCCAGCAGCCGCGGUAAUACGGAGGGUGCAAGCGUUAAUCGGAAUUACUGGGCGUAAAGCGCACGCAGGCGGUUUGUUAAGUCAGAUGUGAAAUCCUCGGGCUCAACCUGGGAACUGCAUCUGAUACUGGCAAGCGUGAGUCUCGUAGAGGGGGGUAGAAUUCCAGGUGUAGCGGUGAAAUGCGUAGAGAUCUGGAGGAAUACCGGUGGCGAAGGCGGCCCCCUGGACGAAGACUGACGCUCAGGUGCGAAAGCGUGGGGAGCAAACAGG